rnacentral:rRNA from 1 species
GACGAACGCUGGCGGCGUGCUUAACACAUGCAAGUCGAACGGAAAGGCCCUGCUUUUGUGGGGUGCUCGAGUGGCGAACGGGUGAGUAACACGUGAGUAACCUGCCCUUGACUUUGGGAUAACUUCAGGAAACUGGGGCUAAUAUCGGAUAGGAGCUCCUGCUGCAUGGUGGUGGUUGGUAAGUUUCGGCGGUUGGGGAUGGACUCGCGGCUUAUCAGCUUGUUGGUGGGGUAGUGGCUUACCAAGGCUUUGACGGGUAGCCGGCCUGAGAGGGUGACCGGCCACAUUGGGACUGAGAUGCGGGCCAGACUCCUACGGGAGGCAGCAGUGGGGAAUAGUGCGCAAUGGGCGGAAGCCUGAUGCAGCGACGCCGCGUGCGGGAUGACGGCCUUCGGGUUGUAAACCGCUUUCGCCUGUGACGAAGCGUGAGUGACGGUAAUGGGUAAAGAAGCACCAGCUAACUACGUG